AAACCUUCAAGCUUUGCUUGGUGUUGGGUGCUGUCCGCCGUUUCUUCUGCGGACUCGCCUUGAAUGAAUUGGCAGCCAGCAUUUGGUGUGUUGGAGCGCAGCACAUUUUGCGUUCUCGGCCAUAGUAGCGGGCGUCCAGAAAGCUUAUUUCAAC
rnacentral:misc_RNA from 1 species